AGGAAGACUUUUAUAACGACUGUCUUGGGAAUUAGUAUUUCUACAUUUACGAGGGCUAAAUGUGAUACUCACGAAGGAAAACAAGAAUAUAUGCCAUGCGGGAAGUGUGAUGUAACAGUUCAUGGUGUAAGAGGUGAUUACAAUACUGUUAAUAUCAACUUCUUUAGUUACAUAUAACUUGCAGAUGUUUGGUUAUGAAAUUUCACAUCAUGCAGUCGGUAAGGAAUUGCACAACCAUUGAUCUGCUUUCAUUUUUCAAAAUUCGAAAUUCACGGAACUUUUAGUAUUGAAUAUAUUUUUAAAAAUAAUAAAAAAUAGUUUAAUUUGUUUUAGGCAGACAAUUUCUGAUAAGAUCGAAGAAAGAUUGUAAAAUUACCUGGAAAUUUAUAUAUGUAGCAUUUGUCCCUUUACGUAUGUUAUGUUAUAGGUAAAAUAUGCGAAGGCUUCAUCUGGGCAUAUAUCACAUCAACCUGUGACCAAGACCCCACGACUUCUCGAUACAGAGUAUCCGUUAGUUUGAGCAGAAUGGACUUAUUUCACCUGUACCGAUCCAUUCAUGGGGAAAACAGUUUAGAAAAAGCGCAUUCUAUAAAAUUCUGAAGCAUAAAUUCACACA
rnacentral:lncRNA from 1 species